rnacentral:ncRNA from 1 species
GGGUGAGGCGUGAUGCGUACCCGUUGUGGGGAUGUUGGUGAUCCUAUGCUGUCGAGAAAAGCCUCUAGUGAGUGCAUACAUGGCCCGUACCCAUAACCGACACAGGUGGUCAGGUAGAGAAUACUAAGGCGAUCGGGUGAACUGUGGUUAAGGAACUCGGCAAAUUGCCCCCGUAACUUCGGGAGAAGGGGGACCACUGCUGGUGACAGACUGGUUUUGAGCUGGUGGUGGUCGCAGAGAAUAGAGGGAAGCGACUGUUUACUAAAAACACAGGUCCGUGCGAAGACGGUGAAGUCGAUGUAUACGGACUGACGCCUGCCCGGUGCUGGAAGGUUAAGAGGACCUGUUAGACCCCUUGUGUGGGUCGAAGCGGAGAAUUUAAGCCCCAGUAAACGGCGGUGGUAACUAUAACCAUCCUAAGGUAGCGAAAUUCCUUGUCGGGUAAGUUCCGACCUGCACGAAUGGCGUAACGACUUCCCUGCUGUCUCAACCACAGGCCCGGCGAAAUUGCAGUACGAGUAAAGAUGCUCGUUACGCGCGGCAGGACGAAAAGACCCCGGGACCUUCACUAUAGCUUGGUAUUGGUGUUCGGUUCGGUUUGUGUAGGAUAGGUGGGAGACUGUGAAGCGGCCACGCCAGUGGUUGUGGAGUCGUUGUUGAAAUACCACUCUGAUCGUAUUGGAUAUCUGAACCUCGGCCCGUGAUCCGGGUUAGGGACAGUGCCUGGUGGGUAGUUUAACUGGGGCGGUUGCCUCCCAAAGAGUAACGGAGGCGCCCAAAGGUUCCCUCAGCCUGGUUGGCAAUCAGGUGUUGAGUGUAAGUGCACAAGGGAGCUUGACUGUGAGACUGACAGGUCGAGCAGGUACGAAAGUAGGGACUAGUGAUCCGGCACCGGCUUGUGGAAGCGGUGUCGCUCAACGGAUAAAAGGUACCCCGGGGAUAACAGGCUGAUCUUCCCCAAGAGUCCAUAUCGACGGGAUGGUUUGGCACCUCGAUGUCGGCUCGUCGCAUCCUGGGGCUGGAGUAGGUCCCAAGGG